rnacentral:lncRNA from 1 species
UAAAGAAAAUGGACUUUACGUUGGUAAAGGUGAAACAACAUACAAAGAGGACUGAAACUUGAGACAGAUGGUACUUGUAUGCCUGAGAGACCAAAAUGCUGAUUCCGUUUACCUUCCUGGAAACUGUAAAACUAACCAAUCAGAGGAUCAGGUCAUUGAGAAGAAGAAACUUGCCCAACCUAAGAUGCACCUCUUUAAGAGGACCCAGUAGGAGAGAAUUGCCCUUGAAAUGCUAAAAUGGGGAAAACAGCUUGAGAAUGUUAUGAGGCAAGACAGACUGACGUGAAAGAUAUUUUCAUCUCCGUGCACUUGGUGCCAACUCAAGGCCAAGUUAGGAAAACAGUCCACGAUGUACUGUAAAGUAAUACUGAAUGGAACAGGUGAGGGCACAGCAUUCAUGUCCUGUUGCCCUUCCCCCCUCUGUCAUGUGAGGAUGUUGUUGCAAGAAGAUGCUUUUACUGG